UACGGGGGGGGUAAGCGUUGUUCGGAAUUACUGGGCGUAAAGGGCUCGUAGGCGGCCAACUAAGUCAGACGUGAAAUCCCUCAGCUUAACUGGGGAACUGCGUCUGAUACUGGAUGGCUUGGAUCCGGGAGAGGGAUGCGGAAUUCCAGGUGUAGCGGUGAAAUGCGUAGAUAUCUGGAGGAAUACCGGUGGCGAAGGCGGCAUCCUGGACCGGCAUUGACGCUGAGUGAGCGAAAGCCAGGGGAGCAAACGGG
rnacentral:rRNA from 1 species